rnacentral:rRNA from 1 species
CCUACGGGGGGCAGCAGUGAGGAAUAUUGGUCAAUGGGCGCGAGCCUGAACCAGCCAAGUCGCGUGAGGGAAGACGGCCCUACGGGUUGUAAACCUCUUUUGCCGGGGAGCAACGGGCGCCACGUGUGGCGCCACUGAGAGUACCCGGAGAAAAAGCAUCGGCUAACUCCGUGCCAGCAGCCGCGGUAAUACGGAGGAUGCGAGCGUUAUCCGGAUUUAUUGGGUUUAAAGGGUGCGUAGGCGGAGCGUUAAGUCAGUGGUCAAAUUGAGGGGCUCAACCCCUUCCCGCCAUUGAAACUGGCGCUCUAGAGUUGGAGAGAAGUAUGCGGAAUUCGUGGUGUAGCGGUGAAAUGCAUAGAUAUCACGAAGAACUCCGAUUGCGAAGGCAGCAUACCGGCUCCAUACUGACGCUGAGGCACGAAAGCGUGGGGAUCGAACAGGAUUAGAUACCCCUGUAGUC